ACAAUAGUUCAUCGCAUGGACACAUUCAGCAAAGAGACAACAUUUCCAGCAGGGUGGAGUGUAGAUACAACAGUCUCUGGGAACCUUCUUUCUUGGCUCUUUGCCUAACCACCAGGCUCUCCACCCACCCCCUUCUUUCGAAGUUACCCCAGUAUUUCAAGAAAUUGCUCAAUUCGAAGGGCGUUCAAAACUUCAAGUCGAAAAAUCUAGCUCCAUGUGACUUAGGUAUAAUCCACGAAAGGACAAAGCGUCAGAAGAGCAACUCAUCUCUCAUGGGUUAUGCAAAAAAGAUGCUAAUGAGACAUUUAUAAUUGAGGCCACACAGGCAUAAAAGUCAGAAAAGCUUUAUUUAUGGCCUGUACAGCUGCUAC
rnacentral:lncRNA from 1 species